UUGAAAAUAUUUUAUCGAAUAAUAAUCCAAAAAGAAACGUACAAUAACGCACAUUGGCAAAUGUCAACAAUGAUUAUAUUUGCCAAAUUGCGUAUAAUAAUAGUUAACACCCCGGCUUACGCUACCCUAUAUUGCGGUUUUUCGUUUUGAUAAGCGCGGUUUGGUUUACGACCUUUUUGAAAGUGUUCCGUGUAGAUCUGGCCAAAGACCAAAAAUCAUUUGAGGAAGAAGAACGAAAAACACCAUUAGCAGACUAAACUAAUACUUUAAUAAUAAUAAUAAAAUCAGAGACUUAAUCAAAAAUAUAAAUUUGUUAAUUGUUAAAGGAAUUUGACCUACGUCACGGUAUUAGCGCUCAUUGGAAAACAAUGCUACAAUUAUUAUGGUGUGACCAAGAAAUACUUAAAGCUUGUCCUGCUUAAAACACCGCGUGCUUACAAGCAAAAAAUUAAUAGAUUAAAGCUAGUAACGGCUGGUUCAGCCUAUUUAAAAAUCGUUGUAUUUGGAUUUUGGAAUAGCAUCGCAAAAGUUAAAGUAACGACAAGUGCUGACAAAUCGCGUCUCAUGAUGAGGCUACGAUGGACCAGAGAUUUAUUAAGGUUUUGCACAUCUUAAUGAAGCUGUUUGACAAAAUAGCAAAAAGACGAAAUGAAGGAAUUCCACGUUUUUGACAGUAUUAAGGACUUCUCAAGCGGGAUUAGUAUUUAUUCGAGCGCGACAAUAAGAUUUCAGAAAAACUUUGCAUUUGAUUGUUAGCAUUAGAUGCAACCCAGGAACUGAAGACAUCCCUGAAAAUAUAAAUAUGCUUUAGAUAAAUCUUCUUAAGUAUAUAGAACCUA